CAAGCCGGCAAGAAAGUCACCUGCUCGCACGAGGCCCAUGGAGUCGCCCAUAUGCAUGGAGGAAAAGAUUUUCCUUACUGAAUACCAAAAAAUAAUUUACAGUUCAUUUUUCAAGUUUUAACCGAACAACAGAAAAUAUGAUUACUUUAAAAUGACUUUCUAAAGAACAUUUUGCAAAAACGCUAUAUUUUUCUUGAAACGAACGAAACCUUAAAGGUAUAGAGCAAACAUGGAAUCAUGGAGCACAAGUUAUUGCCUCCCCAAGGACUCUCUCUCUCUCUCUCUCUCUCUCUCUCUCUCUUGGCUCAAGCAAAUUAUUGGCUAGCAUUUGUUUUCUUCCAUUAAUUUUUACUAUUCUUUUCUGAUUUUUUGUCAAGCUACUCAAGCCAAGAAAAAUACAUAGAUUUUUCUUUCUUUAUGUAAAUUAUGAGAUCAUACAAGUCUAUUAGAAUACAAUUUCAAAGUUGGGAGAUUGAGAAGGGAAGAAGUUGUGUUUUUUUGUCUUUUCUGAGUUCGUUGGCGCAAUUGAAAUCAAAAGGGUGGGGGGAAUUUAUUUCUUCUUCUUCGUCAAUAAGAAUAGUUUCAUUGGGCACUCUGAAGUUAUGACCAACUUGAGAUAUUUUGUUUUAUGUUUUCUGUGAUUCGUUCAUUUAUUUCUUUCAUUUCCAUCGAGAGAAGAAAUUGAAAGAGAGAAGCGAGAGCAGAGCAGAGCAGAUUAGUGCAAAGUAAUAGCAAAAAUCAGAUGUGGUGGUCUCAAGUAGACAAUGUCUUUUUCACCGAGAGGGAUCCUUCUUGAUAUCCUACUGGACCAGACGAGCAAGUCAUCCAGGGUUUUCGAUAAAAUAUGUGGUGCAAAUUGCACCGUCACUCUUUCAUAUAAUUCUCUCUCUCUCUCUCUCUCUCUCUCUCUCUCUCUCUCUCUUGGCUUGAGGAAAUUACUGGCUAGCAUUUGUUUUCUUCCAUUAAUUUUUGCUAUUCUUUUCUGAUUUUUUGUCGAGCUAUUAUGUUUUAUGUGCUUUGUUCAUUUAUUUCUUUCAUUUCCAUUGAGAGAAGAAAUUGAAAGAGAGUAGCGAGAGCAUAGCAAAGGAGUGUAGAGUAAUUGCAAAAGUCAGAAGUAGCGGCCUCAAGUAGCCAAUAUCUUUUUCAUUGAGGGGUCCUUCCUGAUAUCCUACUAGACCAAACAAGCAAGUCAUCCAAGGUCUUCGACAAAAUAUGUGGUGUAGAUUGCACCGCCACCCUUUCAAUUAAUUAUGUGUUUAUCUCUCUCUCUCUCUCUCUCUCUCUCUCUCUCUCUCUCUCUCUCUCAGCUCAAGGAAAUUAUUGGCUAGCGUUCAUUUUCUUCCAUUCAUUUUUGCUAUCCUUUUCUAAUUUUUUGUCGAGCUAUUCAAGCCAAGGGAAAUACAUAUGAUUUUUCUUUCUUUAUGUAAAUUGUGAGAUCAUACAAGUCUAUUUGAAUACAAUUUCUGAGUUAGGAGAUCAAGAAGGGAAGAAGCUGUGUUUUUUUUUCUUUUAUGAGUUCAUUGGCGUGAUUGAAAUAAAAAUAAAAAAAGGUGGGGGGAGUUUAUUUCUUCUUCUUCAUCAGUAAGAAUAGUUUCAUUUGGUACUCUAAAGUUGAGACCAACUUGAGAUUUUAUGUUUUAUGUUUUCUGUGCUUCGUUCAUUUAUUUCUUUCAUUUCCAUUGAGAGAAGAAAUUGAAAUAGAGCAGCGGGAGCAGAGCAAAGUAGUACAGAGUAAUAGCAAAAGUCAGAUGUGGCGACCUCUAGUAGCCAAUAUCUUUUUCACUGAGGGGGAUCUUUCUUGAUAUCCUAUGGACCGGACAAGCAAGUCAUCCAAAGUCCUCGGCAAAAUACGUGGUGCAAAUUGCACCAUCACUCUUUCGUUUAAUUAAGUGUUUAGAGUUGAUUUUAUGAGCGAACCGAACCAUCAAAAAUCCAUUGUUUUACUUGUUACCCAAAACGUAAGGAAAUCCAACUCGAAAUUUUCAGUUUGAACGGUUUUUUUUUUUUUUUUUUUUAAUAUCCCUAGAUCUCGGCUUCUUCUUUUCUUCUAUGAUAUAUAUAAUCUAUAUUUUGGAAAAAAAAGAAGAAAAAAAUGACGUUCUUUUGUUAUAUAAGAUCAAAUUAAUAGUGUUUUGGGAGUGCUUUGUGAACGUGGCCCGAGGUUGAACGGGAUGAGAUUGACGUGAGAGCACUUGGCGGGGUUCACUCUUUCAGCUCGUCUCCGACGCAUUUAGCUGUUGACUUGUUCAAAAGCCAGAGAGACCCAGAGUCACGGGUGUUGCAUCCCAAGUAAUUAAGUGCGACGUUGUUGUUCACACAACGUUAUGAGUAAUGAUUCUUGUAGUGCUUAUAUAUACAUAGACAUGCAAAAAUAGGAAAGAGCUCGAAAUAACUCAAAGCAAUGGCAAAACUGCUUUCUCCCUCCUUCUCCUCGUCCUUCUCCUCCUCCUCUCUUAUCAGAAUGUUGUGCUUUCUCUUGAUUUUCAUGACCCUUCACUUGCUCGCACGAGCUACAGGGAGAGAAGUAAGUCGUCUCCCCGUAUGCAGCGGUGCUGCCAAUCCAGAUUUCCCACAUACGGGCCCAGGAUGUAGACAUCCUUGACUUGAAUGACGAUGGAAGCUCACAGCCAAGUUAUAAAGAAUAAAAUGUCCUGGCAAGGCUUAGAGACGCAUAAUAGCGGAUCAUAUGAAUCGCAAACCUCUUUAUCUCUAGUUAUCCAUCAAUGUAUAAGAAAGCCUCGGUCUAAAUUAAGAUUAUGGAGAACAUUUCGAUGCUUGGAAGUAGCGUGUAACUGCAAGAAUAUAAAGAUCUCCGCAUUAAUCUAUUCGCCGAUUUUUCUGCUUUGAAGUUCUAGAACAGAUUCUUUUGAAUCCUUUGAUGAGUUGACAUGCUUAUUUCUCGAUCUCAA